rnacentral:rRNA from 1 species
GAUGAACGCUGGCGGCGUGCCUAAUACAUGCAAGUCGAGCGAACGGACGAGAAGCUUGCUUCUCUGAUGUUAGCGGCGGACGGGUGAGUAACACGUGGAUAACCUACCUAUAAGACUGGGAUAACUUCGGGAAACCGGAUCUAAUACCGGAUAAUAUUUUGAACCGCAUGGUUCAAAAGUGAAAGACGGUCUUGCUGUCACUUAUAGAUGUAUCCGCGCUGCAUUAGCUAGUUGGUAAGGUAACGGCUUACCAAGGCAACGAUGCAUAGCUGACCUGAGAGGGUGAUCGGCCACACUGGAACUGAGACACGGUCCAGACUCCUACGGGAGGCAGCAGUAGGGAAUCUUCCGCAAUGGGCGAAAGCCUGACGGAGCAACGCCGCGUGAGUGAUGAAGGUCUUCGGAUCGUAAAACUCUGUUAUUAGGGAAGAACAUAUGUGUAAGUAACUGUGCACAUCUUGACGGUACCUAAUCAGAAAGCCACGGCUAACUACGUG